CAUCUUCGGGAAAUUUAUUCUCUUUUUGCUGGUGGUUUGCAUUGUCACGUCAGAUGAUUCGUAUGGAUCAUCAUCAUCAUCAAAGGAGAAGAUAGUAGCACAGCAGAAGGGAACAGUGCGGGAUGUAACACAGCAAAAGUGCAAGGACCCAUGUGCAAGCAAUCCUUGUAGGCACAAUGAGAGGUGCUCUCCACACCAAGUGCAAUGUUUUGCACCACCAUGCUGCCCCAUAGCUAAAUGCAAGCCAGCGUCUUGUGGUUAUACAUAAUAGCUUAUCUUUGUGUAAUGAAUGCACUGAUAAAUAUUCAUUAAAGCGCAACGGUCUACAACCGC